AUUGAACGCUGGCGGCAGGCUUAACACAUGCAAGUCGAGCGGGGUGAUGGUGCUUGCACUAUCACUUAGCGGCGGACGGGUGAGUACUGCUUAGGAAUCUGCCUAUUAGUGGGGGACAACAUUCCGAAAGGAAUGCUAAUACCGCAUACGCCCUACGGGGGAAAGCAGGGGAUCUUCGGACCUUGCGCUAAUAGAUGAGCCUAAGUCGGAUUAGCUAGUUGGUGGGGUAAAGGCCUACCAAGGCGACGAUCUGUAGCGGGUCUGAGAGGAUGAUCCGCAACACUGGGACUGAGACACGGCCCAGACUCUUACGGGAGGCAGCAGUGGGGAAUAUUGGACAAUGGGCGGAAGCCUGAUCCAGCCAUGCCGCGUGUGUGAAGAAGGCCUUUUGGUUGUAAAGCACUUUAAGCGAGGAGGAGGCUACUUAGAUUAAUACUCUGGGAUAGUGGACGUUACUCGCAGAAUAAGCACCGGCUAACUCUGUGCCAGCAGCCGCCGUAA
rnacentral:rRNA from 1 species